UGCUGACCGCAGGGUGACCCCUCAGGUUAGUGUCUUGUCUCUCUCUCUCACAUUACUUCUUGCCUUUCUCCCUCUUCCUCUCUCUCUCUCUCUCUCUUUCUCUCUCUGUAUGUGUGUGGCUUUCUCUCUGUCUUCUUCUCUGCAGAUUUGGAACAGCAGUUCAGUCGAACCACAAACAUGCACGCACACACACACACACACACACACACACUUCUCUACUUUCCAGCUUUAACUGUACUGUAAGUGACAAAUAGCACUAUAAGAGGCAUUGAUCUGCACUCCCUGUAGGCUGGUGUCCCGUGUGUGUGUGUGUGUGUGUGUGUGUGUGUACGGUGAAUCUGGCCUCUAAACUCCAGCACACACUACUAUUGACUCGUCUUUAAAGAGACCCGACACACAGCCGCGGCUGGCAUUUACUGGCCUCAUCGAUCCCAAAUACACACACACACACACAUACACACACACACAGAUGUAACAACUGCCGUCUGGGGAAAGCCAGGCACCCUGGGGCCAUGAAGAUACACAAAGACCAAGGCAGGACCACAUCAGAAAUGUUAUCGGCGUGUACAACGGGGGCGUCGCCUCGGACCUCAGUAAUCAAAGAGCUGCUGAGUUCUGGAUCCUGAUUGGUCAGAAGAGAAGGAGUUGAUUAGUUUUCUAUAACAGCAGCUUGGACAGUAGUGCAGCUGCAAAUCACAGGUUUAUAUUAAUGUGCUAAAACGUUAUCAUUUCUGAAAUUGCAGUGGUAAAAGUGGAAUAAAACACUUGGGAACAUGCUGCUAUAGGAAACCAACACAUCACACAUGGGAAUAUGGAAUAACAUCCAGAGCGUGACUUUAAUUCUAUGUGAGUCUAACCUUUCUCCAUCCUCUCUCUCUCUCUCUCUCUCUCUCUCUUUUUCUCUCUGUCUCUGAGAGGUGUGAACGUUAAUAAGUGCAGACAGCUGACGCAUGUUUAAUCGCUCUAACCUGCUUUGUUGAACCGCGCCGCUCCAGGGACUCGGGUUUGGCCGGCGCCGUGCCACUCCAUCCCUUCAUCCCCUCUCCCCUUCACGCUCCUAUUUUUACUGCUCUAACGAGGUUCGGGCCGAGCACAGGCCGGGUACGGCGGCUCUGCAGGUGCACUCUGGGAGAUAAAAAUGGAUGACUGUGUCGUGGCCUCGUCCCUGAGGAAGGCCUGAGCGAGGUGAUGCUCCGCCAGCUGGUGUGUGUCAGGUCUGAGAGAGAGAAGGCGAGAGAGAGAGUGAGGUCCGAGGUGGGGAGCAUGUGGAGAUGUGGAGCGAUGAUGGACGUGGGAAUUAUUUGACCUUCAUCUGAAGAUAUGAAACCGUUAUUGUCAGCGAUCCACUGCUGUUUGUUUUAUUUGUUAAAAAAAGAAAAGUAUACAUAUUUGACAUUACAGUAAAUAUAUUCUGUUUUGAUGGCUGUGGUUUGGCACAGAGCCCGAGAGGUCACAAAGGAGGAAAAAAAAAGAAAAGAAAAGGGAUGAUAAAGUCAUUGUAAUGUCAUGCGUAAGAUGAGCAAGAGAGGAAACAAUUUGUAGAGGUAAAUUAACAGAGCAUAAAUUAUUCAGGCAGUCAAUAAGCGGCUAAAAAUGACUGUGGAAAAGGCUCGUCUGCACAAGAUGAGUGAGUGUGUGUGUGUGUAUGUGAGAGAGAGAGAGAGAGUGUGUGUGUGUGAGAGAGAGAGUGUGUGUGUGUGUGUGUGUGUGGAAGCAGACAGAUGAGUGUGUGAGGUCAAGGUCAGUAGCAGGGCCGUGAAAGGGGGCGUGCAGCCCAGCUCAGAUUGCCCACCCUCACAGCGAGUGCACUCAUAAAUUAUGGCACCCUAAAAGGAACAGGCUGAGUUACGGCACACAUCAGAUCCACUGACGCUUCCUCACAGGGAGAGAGACGCUCUCCACUGCAACAGAGGCUUCAUUUCUACAAUAUCGUUUGUUUAAAUAUGGAUUAAUUUCAGCAAUCUUUUAACAUCGCAAUAAAAAUCUCACUAGAGUUCUAGAACAGUCUGUAUGAUAGCGAGUGUUCUCCGUGUGGAUCCUCUAACGACAGACCUGCCAUGAAAAAAAAAUGACCGCACUUACGUCAUCAAUCCCCCAGAACUCACCUCGGUCCAAAAAUGAACGGUUUUAACAUGUCUCAUCUCUCCAUCACUCUAUCUGUAACGAGUCUGCCGUUCUCCUAUUGGUGGAUUUUAUAAAGUGUCAGUUUCAGACUCUCAACUCACCAUCACAGAAUUAAUUUAAAACCUGCCAGUUUUGUCCUCAGUGGCAAAAAUCACAAACCUCACAGCAUUAGUGGUGCUGAUGGCUGUCUCUCACCACUGAAAUAAUACAAAUUUAACACAUUUCCAGUUUUCUAUCCUUCUGCCCUAAUGAUGUAAAUGAACUCAGUAGAGUGUCUCGUGUCUCGACUUUCAUUUGUUUUCAUUCUUUCAUGACAGUCGUUUCCUCUGGACAUCCACCUCUUCCCCAACACUCAACUCUCUUCUAUUCAAUUCAAUUCUAUUUAUAAAGCACCUUUAACAAUAGACAUUUGUCAGGCAGCAGCUCUGAAACUCCGGAUAUAGAUUUAACUCCCUGACAAACAAGCCGGAGGAGACGGAGGAGAGGAAACACUUCCUGAGACGACACAAAGAAGGAACCUUGAGAGGAACCAGACUCAACAAAUGACAUCAGCGUGGAGUAACGUGAUGAUUACAGCUAGGCUGCAUCACAUAUUUUGUCACUGACAUAUUAAAAGCAUAAUUUUUUAUUUAUAUAUUAUAAAUCUUGGGGGUUAUUUUACAGAUACUUUAUUACAUAGGGGUGGGCCGAUGUAUUUCCACCAUAUUGCUGUUUUGUUUGGAAUUGUAUUUAACUUAAUACUUUAUCUGAUGCUUAUGAAAAUGAUUGUUUAAUGUAAAAAUAACCACAAUCAUGCAUAAAAAGAUUUAAUUAUAAAUUCCUUUUAUUACUAUUUAAUUUAAUAUCGCUUCAGUGGCAUACGUUUGAAAGCAAAUGAGGAAAAAGUCAGUAUUUUCUAUCCCUGAUUUUUUCGUGCUUUGGUAAAACUCGGUCUCGGACACUUCCACUCAGGAAAACUAUAAGUUGGUGAUUUUGAUGAUCUGAAAGUGGAGCUUAGAAAAUUUCCCCGAGACGAGAGAGUCGACUCGCCCUAACAAGACGUGACUCUUAAUUAAGUGUGAGCUUGUAAUGUUCUCCGUUCUUCAUCUCUCUUCUCACACACUAAUGCAUCUGUUUAAAUGGCACCAAGGAUUAAACUUCAUGCAGAGACAGUGCACACACACACACACACACACACACAGUCGAUUGGUUCGUUGGUGUGAGAUCCCGUUGUAUUCGUACCGAUGCAGUAUGUACAGCAGUAAGAGCUCCUCUGGGAGAAAUAGGUAGAAUUUACAUGUGUCUCGUAGCCGAGUGCUGCGGGGGGAAACAGGCUGCUCUGGUGACUCACACAGUUACCCCACGAUGCUGCUUUGUCACGUCGAGCCCAUUUCUCCUGCCUCGCCUCAGCACACUGGUGAAUGCGUCAUGCAGAGUGACAGCAUGGCGUGAGUCAACAUGGCUCCCGGUCCUGAUGGCUGAGGACGCCGUUCGAACAGUUGGCUUGGUUACACAGUGAUAAAUGCAGAUUUCUGGACGUAGCAUCACGUGGCGCUCGACGGAACGUUACCGUAAACACGAGACGUUAUGACACGCACGUGAGAAAGGUAGCACUUCGAUUAUAAACAAACAGAUUCAAUAAAGUGUGUUAGCGGGAAUGUAUAGAAAAUGUCUCCUGGAGGAUGUGGGGUAAUUAAAAUGAACCUGAAACAAACAUCUGAACAUCUGGAAUUCAAUGUUCUCUUAACUAACGGUAAUUAGACUUGGAUGUUAAUUUUAACAAGUUACUGUUAAUUAGAAGAUUAGCAUUAAAACAUCAGUCAUAGCCGUGUUAAACACACCAGCUUUAACUGUGACUAACUUUAUUUAAUAUUCUGGGUUAUUAAUUACAGGAAUUAAAAUUUCAUUUAAUUAGCAUUAUUUACUGCAUGAGUUAACAUUAACUAGAAACAAUAGCCAAAUGUAUGAAAAUUUAUACUAAUUUAUGUACAGAUUUAUGUAUGGAUAGAUUUAAUUAUGGAUGUAUUUAAAACUGUUCAUUUUGCUGUUAAAUUGUCCCUUUGGGAAACCAAUUUGUGUUUCUGUCAGAUGAUAUUCCAAGGAGAACAAGCCUAGAACCCUGAAGGAGA